rnacentral:rRNA from 1 species
UACGUAGGUUGCGAGCGUUAAUCGGAAUUACUGGGCGUAAAGCGUGCGCAGGCGGAUUGGUAAGACAGAGGUGAAAUCCCCGGGCACAACCUGGGAACUGCCUUUGUGACUGCAUGACUAGAGUACGGCAGAGGGGGAUGGAAUUCCGCGUGUAGCAGUGAAAUGCGUAGAUAUGCGGAGGAACACCGAUGGCGAAGGCAAUCCCCUGGGCCUGUACUGACGCUCAUGCACGAAAGCGUGGGGAGCAAACAGG